UGGGGAAUAUUGCGCAAUGGGGGAAACUCUGACGCAGCGACGCUGCGUGCGGGAUGAAGGCCUUCGGGUUGUAAACCGCUUUCGAUUGGGAGCAAGCUUUCGGGUGAGUGUACCUUUCGAAUAAGCGCCGGCUAACUACGUGCCAGCAGCCGCGGUAAUACGUAGGGCGCAAGCGUUAUCCGGAAUUAUUGGGCGUAAAGAGCUUGUAGGCGGUUCGUCGCGUCUGGUGUGAAAGCCCAUCGCUUAACGGUGGGUUUGCGCCGGGUACGGGCGGGCUAGAGUGCAGUAGUGGAGCCUGGAAUUCCCGGUGUAACGGUGGAAUGUGUAGAUAUCGGGAAGAACACCAAUGGCGAAGGCAGGUCUCUGGGCUGUUACUGACGCUGAGAAGCGAAAGCGUGGGGAGCGAACAGG
rnacentral:rRNA from 1 species